rnacentral:rRNA from 1 species
GAUGAACGCUAGCGGCAGGCUUAAUACAUGCAAGUCGAGGGGUAACAGGGGUAGCAAUACCUGCUGACGACCGGCAAACGGGUGCGGAACACGUACGCAACUUUCCCAAAACUGGUGAAUAGCCCUCCGAAAGGAGGAUUAAUACACCGUAACAUAAUGAAGUGGCAUCACUUUAUUAUUAUAGCUCCGGCGGUUUUGGAUGGGCGUGCGCCUGAUUAGGUAGUUGGCGGGGUAACGGCCCACCAAGCCUGCGAUCAGUAACUGGUGUGAGAGCACGACCAGUCACACGGGCACUGAGACACGGGCCCGACUCCUACGGGAGGCAGCAGUAAGGAAUAUUGGUCAAUGGACGAAAGUCUGAACCAGCCAUGCCGCGUGAAGGAUGAAGGUCCUCUGGAUUGUAAACUUCUUUUAUAUGGGAACGAAAAAGGAAUUUCUUUCUCACUUGACGGUACCAUAGGAAUAAGCACCGGCU